rnacentral:rRNA from 1 species
GACGAACGCUGGCGGCGUGCCUAAUACAUGCAAGUAGAACGCUGAAGGAAGGAGCUUGCUCUUUCUGGAUGAGUUGCGAACGGGUGAGUAACGCGUAGGUAACCUGCCUGGUAGCGGGGGAUAACUAUUGGAAACGAUAGCUAAUACCGCAUAAAAUUGAUUAUUGCAUGAUAGUCAAUUAAAAGGUGCAACUGCACCACUACCAGAUGGACCUGCGUUGUAUUAGCUAGUUGGUGGGGUAACGGCUCACCAAGGCGACGAUACAUAGCCGACCUGAGAGGGUGAUCGGCCACACUGGGACUGAGACACGGCCCAGACUCCUACGGGAGGCAGCAGUAGGGAAUCUUCGGCAAUAGACGGAAGUCUGACCGAGCAACGCCGCGUGAGUGAAGAAGGUUUUCGGAUCGUAAAGCUCUGUUGUAAGAGAAGAACGAGUGUGAGAGUGGAAAGUUCACACUGUGACGGUAUCUUACCAGAAGGGGACGGCUAACUACGUG